rnacentral:lncRNA from 1 species
CAUAAUGCAUUAGCUGCUAAAAGUCACUGCCACAAGAGCCAGGACAGUUUACAGAUGUCAUGACUACCUCAGGAAGUCACCCUCUAUGGUCUAAAAAGGGGAGGAACCCUCAGAAUUACCUACCCCUUUCCUGGAAAACUCAUGACUAAUUCACCCCUUGUUUAGCAUAUAAUCAAUAAAUAACCAUAAACAUAGGCAGCCAGCAGCCUAUGCUGCUGCUUUGCCUAUGAAGCAGCUAUUCUUUAUUCCUUUACUUUCUUAAUAUACUUCCUUUCAUUUUACUCUGUGGACUCGCCCUGAAUUCUCUCUUGCACGAGAUCCAACAACCCUCUCUUGAGGUUUGGACUGGGACCCCUUUCUGAUGGAUGUGCAUGUCAUUUGGUGCCAAAGACCCAGGUCACAGGGAUUCCUUCGGGAGACCAGGCCCCUGUCCUCACUCUCACUCCAUGAAGGGAUCCACCUAUGACCUCGAGUCCUUAGACCAACCAGCCCAAGGAACAUCUCACCAAUCUCAAAUUGGGUCCGGCCCAGAGGGGAAAUGGAAAGAAGUCAGGAUCCAGAACAGUAAGGUCUGCAGAUGUCUGGGCAGUUUGCUGGAACACAACUGGGGUUAUAUCUGCAAAUGCUAGAGCCCAUCUACACACAGCAAAAUAUCUCACAAUGAAUUCCCAUCCACAGCCUCAGCAAUGGGCUGGUGUGUCCCCAGAGAAUGUCAGCUGAUUGGACAGCAGUCUGCAGGAGAAGGUGAAUCCCCUAAUUUGGAAGGAACUGAAGCAUGAAAAGAUGCUGAGAUCACAAUGAAAACAGACAAAGUCUUCUGGGGAUGAAAUGUUAAAAAGGGGAGAUGUGCAAGGAACACAGGAAGAAUAAGUUCAGGAGAUCUGUUAUACAACAUGGGGAUGAUAGUUAAUAACAAUGCAUGGUACAUUUGGGGAUUGCUAAAGGAACACCUUGUAAAGAUUUCCACCCUUCCUCUUGAAUGAUAAGUAUGAAAUGUGACGGAUAUAUUUCUUAGCUUGAUGUAGCUGUUCCACCGUGUGUGCAUAUAUCAAAACAUCACGUUGUAUCCCAUAAAUGUAUAUCGUUUAAAUUUGUUAAUUAAAAUAAUAAAUAAUAAAGAACAAUGGGAUUUUUGAAAUAAUCAAGUGUAUUUGUAAAUAUAUGGGUAUAUAUGUAUAUGUACUUAUGUAUUUGUAAAUUACAUGUAUGUAUACUUACAUGAAUAUAUCAGUAUAAACACACAUGUACAUACAUAUGGACAAAUACAUAUAUGUGUAUAAUGUGUGUACAUACAUAUUUAUAAAUAUGCAUGCAAAUAUAUUUAUAUAAGUAUAUAAACAUGUAAGUAUUAACAUAUGUACAUGUUUAUGUGCAAAUAUACAUGUGUAAAUAUGUAUCUAUGUAAACAUAUGUAUUUCAGAAUAUAUUGAUACAUUAUCUUAAGUAUAUAUACACAUAUACUUACAAAUACUCAUGUCUAAAUGUGCAAAUAUAUAUGUAUUUGUAAAUAUAUGUAUAUACACUUAUAUAGCAUAUAAACAUACAAGUAUAUAUACCUAUAUACUUAGAAAUACACAUGUGUAGAUACGUACACAUACCUAUAUACUUGUAAACAUAUGUAUAUAUACUUAAAUGAUCAUAUAAACAUAUGACUAUAUAUACACUUAUGCACAUAUAUAUUUACAAAUACAUGCGUGUGUCUGUGUAUACAUAUUUGUGUGUACACACACCCAUAUUUGUUGAAAUAACCAAAUAACCCAAAGGAUUACUUGAAUCAAAAAAGCAAUUCAGAGUCCAGGAGAUAAUUCCAAGCUCCAAGAAGUUCUGACAUGGCAAAUAUGAAAAUGAGUUUCAAAGCCACAGAACAAAGGAGGUGGUGUCGCCAAAACUUUUACUCAAUGCCCCUAAGGGCUGUUUGGAGAGGGCAGGGCUUAGCCAUAUUUAAACAAACAAUGGUUGAUUAUUUUCUCAGAUCCUUCACAGAAUUUCUUUCUUCAAGUCAAAGAGUACAAGUAAAAGCCAAUACACAACACUCGGGAAAAAUAUGGGAGCCCCCAAAACAAAGAAAAAUCCUUUAAAUAGCCAGACAAGUGGCCCCCAGACAUCCUUCAUGACCUGAACAAGACAAACCAGCAGGGUUGGGAGGGCCCUGGGAACAAUGGGAAAAGGUCUUCAGAGCCCUCAGGGGGAAUUCCUAACUGUGGACAGCUCUACACUGAGCUCAGCAAUUCCGGAGUAAGCAGGCAAUAAAUGCACCGUUUUUGAGCCAGAACGUUUUCCACUUACUUCGACUCACUAUUGGAACUACUCAAAGAUGCUCUAUAGGGAGAGAGGUACCAAAGCUGGAGGAAGGCAGAAGAUGCAGGAAAUACGGGGCAUCCAUGGAAUCAACCUGAUGUAGCUUGGCCCUGCGUCCCCACCCAAAUCUCACCUCGAACUGUAAACCCCAUGAUCCCCAUGUGUAGAGAGAGGGCCCUGGAGGGAGGUAAUUGGAUCAUGACAGCGGUUUCCCCAGUGCUGUCCCCAUAAUAGUGAGGAAGUUCUUAUGAGAUCUGAUGGUUUAAAAGUGGCAGUUUUCCAGUCAGGAGCAGUGGCUUACCCUUGUCAUCCCAGCGCUUUGGGAGGUCAAGGCAGGCGGAUCACUUGAGGUCAGGAGAUCAUGACCAGCCUGGGCAACAUGACCAAACCCCGUUUCUACCCAAAAUACAAAAAUUUAGCUGGGCUGGGUGGUGAGCACCUGUAGUCUCAGCUACUAAGGGUGCUGAGGCAGGAGAAUCGCUUGAACCCGGGAGGCAGAGGUUGCAGUGAGCCGCGAUCACACCAUUGCACUCCAGCCUGGGCACAAGAGUGAAACUCCGUCUCAAGAAAAAAAAAGUGGUAGUUUUCCCUGCACUGUCUCUUUCCUGUGGCCUUGUGAAGAAGGUACCCUGCUUCCCCUUUGCCUUCCGCCAUGAUUGUAAGUUUCCUGAGGUCUCCCCAGCCAUGUAGAACUGUGAGUCAAUUAAACCUCUUUCCUUUACAAAUUACCCAGUCUCAGGGAAGUUCUUUAUAGCAAUUUGAAAACGGGGUAAUACACAACCUAAACGCCCAUCAAUGAUAGACUGAAUUCAGAACGAGAUCAUGUCCUUUGUGGGAUCAUGGAGGCCAUUAUCCUUAGCAAACUAACGCAGAAACAGAAAACAAAAUACUGCAUGCUCUUACUUACAAGUGGAGCUAAGUGAUGAGAACUCCUGGACACAUAGAGGGGAACAACGGACACUAGGUCCUUUUGGUGGGUGAAGAGUGGGAGGAGGGAGAGGAUCAGGAAAAACAACUAAUGGCUACCAGGCUUAGUACCUGGGUGACAACAAAUCCCUAUGACACAAGUUUGCCUAUAUAGCAAACCUGCACUUGUACACCUGUACUUAAAAUACAAGUUAAGUAAUAAAAAAAAUUACUGGUCAUCGAAAAAUAGAGGAACCAGAGUUAAAUCAAAACUAGUGUCGGCCAUAUAAAACACCAUCAACAUCCAGCACCAAUAAUAAAAGGAUACCUCCAUUGAGGGUCCAUUUUUUAUUUUAUUAUUUUUAUUUUUUGAGAUGGAGUCUUGCUCUGUCACCCAGGCUGGAGUGCAGUGGCACAAUUUCGGCUCACUGCAACCUCCACCUCCCGGGUUCAAGUGAUUCUCUAUUGAGGGUCUAAAAGGAAAGUGGACCUAAAAUUAAAGGUCAUAAUAGCUUGUAGGAGAGAAAUGCAAUGGUCAGAGCUAAAACAAGUUAUUUCUUUUUUUGGGAGGAGAGUAUAAAUAUUUGCUUUAUUUUAUUUCCUGUGAAUGUUGCUAUGCAUGUGAAAUUUAUUGCCAGUAAGUAAAAUAAUAAAAACUGAAAACAGCUUUCUCAAAAAGGAAAAAAACUUAAAAAAACCCUCAGGUAUCAGAAAAUAGAAAUUAUCAAAACAAAGAAAGUGAAAGGUUAAUAGAAUGUACAAAAUUGAACACAAGAAAUACAUUGUAAAACUGUUAUCAACUGUAAUAAAUAGAAAUCAUAUGAAAAUCUAUCUUAGAAGACAAGAACUCUCAGAUGAGAUUGAAAAAAAUCUAGGUCUUUGCUGUUUGCAAAAGUCUGAAAUGCAGAACACAAAAAGGCCAAGAUCAAAGGUAUGGAGAAAAAAUAACAUAGAUAAGUAAAUUUAACAUUUCUGUAGUUUGGUUAACAAGAAGCAGAAAAGAAAGGAAAAAGUCCAGGAGUUUGAGACCAGCUUGGAUAACAUAGUAAGACCUCAUCUCUACAAAUAGUUUAAAAAAUUAACUGGGCAUAAUGGCACACAUUGUAGUCCCAGCUACUUGUGAGGCUGAGACAGGAGGAUCUCUUGAUCCUGGGAGGUCAAGGCUGCAGUGAGCCAUGAUUGCACCACUGCAUUCCAGCAUGGGCAACAGAGGGAGACCCUGACUUUAAAAAAAUUAAAAAAUAAAAAUAAAGAAGGUUGUGGUUACGUUAUAAAAAAUUUUGUCAAAAAUAAUUAUAAAAUCCUGAACUUUAUAAAAUUAUAAAAUAAGAUUAUAAAAAAUGCUGAAAUUUUUUUCAGCUAGUACCAUAGUAUCCAAGUUCAUAAAACAACAUUUGGGAGAAUUAGAACACAUUAUCAAGUCCAGAGCCUCAUCUUCUGCAGAUCUCUGCCUAUGGGGAGCUAGCUUUCAAAAAAAUGAGAAAACUUGUAUUUGUGUGUGUGUGUGUGUGUGUGUGUGUGUGUGUGUGUGUGCGUGCACAUGCAUUUGCAGCUAAACUUAAAUUCCUUCCUGUAUUUAUCUUCCUAAAUUAAUGUAAUAUUCUUGAAUACCUGCAGCUUGUCCAUAUCUCCUCAAAUUCCUAUUUUGAAACAUUAACUCCAAAGGUACUAGGAGGUGAGGCAUGGGGAAGUGAUGAGGUCAUGAGCAUGGAGCCUCAUGAGUGGGAUCAGUGCCCUCAUAAAAUGCACCCCAGAGAGCUCCCUCACUCCUUCUACCAUUUGAAGACACAGUGAGAAGGUGCCAUCUAUGAACCAGGAAGCCCUCACCAGACACUGAAACUGCCACACCUUGGUCUUGGACUUCCAGCCUCCAGAACUGUGAGCGAUAAAAGUCUGUUGUUUAUAAGCCCUGACUGUGGUAUUCUCUUACAGCAGCCUGAAAUGGACUAAGACAGCCUUCCUCUGUGCUUCAGAAGAGGAAAAAGGUUCUAUUGCUCAGCUUCCAUCUCCAGAAACAUCCCCAGUCAACAAUGUCCCAUGUCAGAGCAACCUUAUCCACCUGUAAAUGCUGCAGCCAGCCCAGAAGAAUGCCAGUUACUUCUUUUCUGCUAUAUUGACGUCAGUUUUUUAGAGAUUCAGCGGACCUGGAGCGUGGCCUUCAUGCAGGGUA